AGGGAUAUACUUUCAGGAAUCAUUUCUAUAGUAUGUAUCGCCAGGACAUCAGGUAAAACUGAUCCUGGACAACAGAGGAACUGGAAUUGAGCAUCUGA